GCUUAAGUUUGAUAAACAAACAACAAAACCAAACAGGUAUCAUCAAGAUCCAAGAUAAAAUUGAAAGGUUUAGACAAGUCAUUUAACACAAGUCUGGAUUAGAAUAGGAGGCAGAUUGCAAGUUUCUUGACGGCAAAAUAAAGAUCUUCUAUAGUUCCUAUAUUUCAUAAAGUAUUUAAUGCUUUUCUCCUUGAAUAUCUUUAUGUAUACAUUGUUUCAUUGAUCAAGCUACAGCUGCUAAAGCUUAGUGUUUGUAACAUUUAAGAGAAAGGAAAUGUGGCAAAUGGGAAUCACUCAACACAACCAUGUAGGUCCAUAUUUUCCUCCUCCUUCUUCGUCUCUCCCUCUCUCUCUGACUUUACACCUCUGUGAUGCUACCUAGUUUCACCAAGAUGGAGCAUUUUUAUUGGUGAUCACUGUACUUCGACUUAAGUGAGCCAAAACCCUCACAGAGGGCUGAGUGUCUUAGAAGGAGCAAAGCAAGUCUCAACAAACUCUGCCUUCCUCACCUUCCAGAAGAGACCAGUUCAUACUGAGGACCAAACCUUUUAAAGUGAUUGUCUACACUAAUCAAAACCUUCACGCCAUGAAGAUUGUCACUUGGUUGUAAAACCAUUUUCAACAGAAGAGCAAGUCUGGAAAGAAUUUAAGCCCCGAGUGGCUCUUGCUGCCUCUGCUUUGUGCUGGGAAAGGAGGUGAACCCAAUUAGAGAUGAGUCUCUACAUGAGCAAAAGACGAGAAGAAUCAGAUUCCCACAAGAGGAAACGUGACAGAUGUGUAACCAGCUAAAUGCUGACCAAUCACAUUUGAAGAGGAGAAGGGCAAGUCGUGGCCAAAAUAGGCUGUCAUUGGAGCUGCACGAGAUCGGUCAAAUGAAGUCUGGCUGUCUUAGUUAACUGCAAUGUCAACUGCUGUGAUAAAGCCACCAGAGAAUUUGGUUGGCUUAACACAAUCACAGUCUAUUUAUUUUAAAUUACUAGUCCAUUGCAGGUGUUCCUGCUUGAGCAGACUUCUUCCAAGUGGUGAGUGAGAGAUCCAGGUUCCUUGCCAAAUUGGUGUUCUGCCAUCGUCAACACCUGUUUCCCAAGGUGUCCUUGUUUUCGUUGGUUGGUUUUUGGCUGUCGAUGUUUUUGUUGCCUUUGUUUCAAUUCCAUACAGCUGAAAGGGAAAAAAAGCACAUGCCCGCUUCCCCACGGGAGGUUUCCACGGUGCACACCCUUCCACUCACAUUCCUUUGGCCAGAGCUGAACCACGUUGACACAUCGAACUGUAAGACCAGCUGGAAGGUAGUCAAGCUGAGAAGAGGGAGAAAUUGGUUUGGUAUCACUUAUCAGUCUCUCUCUACUGAUAAAACCAUCUGUUGAUGCUUGUGUUAAGCAAUGAGAAUACACAUCCAUUGCUGCCAGGACUGCAAAUUGGUACAAUCACUUUGGGAAUUCACUUAGCACCAUCUUGUAAAGCGGAACAUGACCCUCCAAUUCCCCUUGCUGGUGUAAACUCUAGAGAAACUCUUGCAUAUGAGUCCAUGGGUAAGCGUGUUCUCAGCAGUAAUAUCUGCAAUCGUGAAAACCUGAAAAUAACCCAAAUGUUUACACAGACAGGAGAAUGGAUAUAUAAAGUGUGGAAUAAUCACACAAAGGCAUAUGGCACAAAAGCAAAACGAAUAAACUAAACUUACAAGCAGCGUCAUGGUAAAUCUUAGAUGUUCAGUGUUGAGACGAAAAAUAUCCAGAAGACCAGACAGUGUACUAUCAAUGAAUGCAAUUCAAAAGUAAACAGAACUGAACAAUAAUGUAUUGUUUAAGAAUACUGAGAUCUGUGCCAAAACUAUCACUACAUUCUUAUUACACACAAAAUUCAAGAAAAUAGUUAACUUGGUGGCAGGGGUUUCAUGAGGUGUGUUUGCAGGAAAGGGAGCCCAGAGAGUAAUAAUUAUUGAGGAAUGUUCUAGAUGUUUGAAGUGGGUGGUAGGUCCUUGCUUGUUUUGUAUUUUGCUUCAUACCUUUGCAUAUUCAUACCUUCAUGCCAUCGCAUAUGUUCCUUAGGAGAUCCCCAACAUUUCACAUGCAAAGUAAGUUAGUUUUAGAUGCAGUGAGUCACUUUUGGAUGAUUUCCCACCCUCUAAUAAUUCCUCACCCUUGAAAGAAUCCCUUUGACUCCAGAGUGGUUUUUCUGUGACUGUUUUGUGCCGUCAGCGUCCUUUGUAGGGCUUCUUGACCAAGAGGUGGAAAUUGGAUUCAUCCUGGAAUGAAGAAGCUCCUGGAACUCUUUCAGACUCAUGGCAGAAUGAAACACACCCUUCUCCCUUCCAUUACUCUGCUCUUGAAAAUUGUAUCUCCUUGCCUCUCUCUUGAGGAGACUCUGUUGGAAGAGGAUGCUGUCCGCAAUGACAAGUUCAAGUACCACUUAUUCAUCAAUGACUUAUAUAUAUUCAAAUAUAUUUUACGGAUAUAAAAUACCUCUGUACAUAUAUACAUUUAUGCCCGUAUUAAUAUAUAUCCAUAUUCAUAUAUAUAUAUAUAUAUAUAUAUCAGGUAUAUAUACAUCAAACUUUUCCCCUCUACUUUAGACUCCAUUUGGAAUGACCCUAUCAUAUCUUUGGUUGCAUGUCUUCAACCACUGGUUCUCAAACUUUUUGGUCUCAGGAAUCCUUCCCAUUAUUAAAAAUUACACAAAGACCCCAAAGAGCUUUUGUUUAUGGGCAUUGUAUCUAUCAGUAUUUACCAUAUUACAGAUUAAAACUGAGAAAUUAAAAACACAUUGAUGAAUUCAUUUUAAAGUUAUAAAAAUCAUAUAUUUUUUCAUGAAAAAGAAUAUUUUUUCAAAAUGGAAAAAAGAAAAUACUGAGCAGAGUGGCGUUUGACAUUUUUACCAACUGAGUUUGCGUAUCUGUUUUGGCAUCAUCUCUGGUCGACAUGCUGCUUUGUUUAAAGUGUGUGAAAAAUGAUUCAGCCUCCUACAGAUACAUCAUUGAAAGAGAAACAAGGAGCCUAUGACCAUCUUCGUGUUUCCAAAGGUCCAUGAGCAGAAGUGGGCACAGAACUCAAACAGCCCCUAGGAGGACAAGAGAUGAUAAGGUGGACCCUGACGAUGCCAUGAUUUCCAUACACCAGAUUGCUGGUCUCUCAUUCUUUUCCUUUCUGAAAGGGAGGCAUGUUUUCAGCGUUUGAAUUUUCCAGCUGCCAUUAUUCAUCAGAAUAAGGAAAAUAGACAGCUCGUCUUUGACUUUACAGACCCCUGGACUAUAAGGAACCAUGGCUUUGUAGGGAUGAGGAAACGAAGGCUUGUGCGCCAAAUCUGGCCCUCCACUUGUUUGUAUAAAUAAAGUUUUAUUGACACACAGCCACACCCAUUUAUUUGUGUUUUAUCUAUGACUGCUUUUGCACUACAGUGGGAUAGUUGAGUCCCUGCAACAGAGAACCUACGACCCAUGAAGCUGAAACUAUUUACUAUCUGGCCCUUUACAGAACAGGUUUACCAACUCCUGGUCUAGACCCAAUUCACAUAUUUUGGUAAAAAAGGUCUCCCCUCAAUUAACUCAUGUGUUCCUGUGGACAUACUCAAAUAUCUACAGAAAAAGAGCCUCCCUGGAGGACAUAAAUUGUUGCUGUGCCCAAUAAUAGAAAUAGUAAUCACAUGCAUACUUCAAUUCUGUUUAUCUACACACCUUCUAGGACUCCAAUCAAUCAACAACCAACAAAAGAAAAUUCAAACUCUGGUCGUCUGGAUAUUUGUGAUAAUUGAGUUUCCUCUGGGUGUAAGGAAACAUCCAACACUGAAUUCUUCUCUAUGGCUGGUCCUACUUUUAUUAAACUUGGACAUUUUUGACAACUUGUUCAGAAUCAUACUUUCUACUUUGCUUGGAGACAAUUGCCAUCGUCUUUCCCUAGAUCAAAACUAUGUGCAAUUAUCUUCUGAUCUGUCCCAGGAAAUGGGAGGUGCCCAGGAGGUCCCUUGAUCGAAUCACACUAACAAGAUAAGAGAGCAGAUCAAUAGCGCGAUUAAUCGCUGGAGUGCCUCUUCACCCUGAACGCUUCGCUGAGCCGAGUUGGUGAAAACAUUCCGACUGAAAUGAUACAGCCCAUUCUGACCGCCCUUUGACGUUGCAAAUGAAGUAUUGAUUAUCUAUACUCAACCUCAGUUCUGGCUUUGCUUAAAACUUUGUGUUUUGUGGGAAAGGCUGUUUGGUAUCAAGUCUUGAUUCCGUAAGCCUUAGGGUGGCAACAGCCUGGUUAAACCAGUGGCAUGCCUCGUUGAAGCACGAUGCUUGGGUUCCUGUGCUAUUUUUCGUGGGUGGCUGGAGGACGUUCUAACAUGGGGGGCCUCAUCUUUUCUUGGAUUCUUUGUUCUCCAAGACGAACCCAUUUCCUGCAGCUUUUGGUGACUGCUGAAGCCAUGUCCUUAUUAAAAGUCUUGGCUAAUGUGGUAAGCCAAAAAGGUAUCUACUUUUUCACUUGCAUUCCUUUUAUUUCCAUCCAUUUUUAAAAAGAAGAGUCCUUGUGAGAAACCCCUCAGUCUCAGCCUAGGAAAGAGUUACUCUCCCUCACACAGUCCCGGACUACAAACCUUUGUUCCAGCUACUUUACUUGGUCCCAGCUGUUUUAAAAUAGGAACACGUGUGUCCUAUUAUGUGUUGAUUGAUGGGCAGAGAAUUUCCUUAGUUGUCGGUCAUUUUGGGCCUCUCUACCACACCACAUUACACAAGCACAUGCACCACGUGCUCAUGCACACACAUGACACAGACUACACACAUACAUUCAAGCCCCACACAAAUGCUUGUGCAAGCACACAUGCCACGUGCGUACACACAUACCAUACACACACAAGACACAUUCACGUGCACAAGACAGACCACACACACACACCCCCACAUACAUACUUGUUUGUAAAUAUCAGGCACAUGCACACAUCACAAACUCGUGCACACACACACAUAACAUGCACAUAUGCAUGUGCUUACAUACACAUGAUACUCACACACCAGGACACACACAUGCCCAUAUUCACACAUCUGCACACACACCACAUAUGUGCACAUGUGCAUGUACUCCUAAACACUCCCAAAUGCACUUCUUAUAACUGAAGUGUGAAAAGCCGUUUCAUAAAUUUAAAUUUAAUUUAUACAAUUUAAUUUAUGUGAUGUAAUUUAUAUAACGUGUGAAUUUAAUUUAUACAAUGUAAGUAAAAAAUGCUUGAAGAAACAUUUAACCAUUUUCCUCCAAAAAUUCACUUUUUUUUUUUUCCUUGGGAGACAUUAGCAAAAGCUCCUUGAAUGUCCUAAACUAUGUUGGGUUGGAAGAAUUGCAAUCACUAUGUGGUUUGAAUCAAUCCCAUUUUCUUGUUUAUUGUUUCAUCUACUGGGUUGGACGGCUCAACAUGUCACGUGAAAUAUAAACUCAAAAAAAACCACAAUCAGCCUUUGUUUUUGCUUUUGUGGCUUUAAGGGGAAGCAGGAAGACUAAUGAAAUAACAGUAUCUGUAAUAAGGCAGUAAAAAAUAAAUAAAUAAAUAAACCAUUCACAGAAUCUGGCUUUGGUUUAGCUGUCAGGAAAACUCUUUUGAUUUUUGUGACAGACUAACUCCAAGACUGGGGUUCCACACACGUCCCCGUGGCUAUAUAUGUGGAACAAUUGCAGGCAACAGAUCGAGAAAGAUGCAACCCGGAAUCCAGGGAGGGCACAAAUAAUAGAGAAAAGUUUGUUUCUCAAGAUUCUCAUUUUUCAUAUCGAAAACUCUCACUUGAAAGUUUCAGAAAAGAAUUUGGCACAGGGAAAUUCAU
ensembl:lncRNA